UGAGGAAUUUUCUGCAAUGGGCGAAAGCCUGACAGAGCAACACCGCGUGAGGGAUGACUGCCUAUGGGUUGUAAACCUCUUUUCUCAAGGAGGAAGAACUGACGUUACUUGAGGAAUAAGCAUCGGCUAACUCUGUGCCAGCAGCCGCGGUAAUACAGAGGAUGCAAGUUUUAUUCGGAAUUAUUGGGCGUAAAGCGUCUGCAGGUUGAUGUAAAAGUCUUUUGUUAAAUAUCAGGGCUCAACCCGGAAUCUGCAAAAAGAAACUAUAUAUCUCGAGUAUGGUAGAGGUAAGGGAAUUUCCAGUGGAGCGGUGAAAUGCGUAGAUAUUGGAAAGAACACCGAUAGCGAAG
rnacentral:rRNA from 1 species